AUGAGCUGAUAUUGGGCCACUACACUACAGCCUGGGUGGUAAGAGGCUCAAAAAAAAAGAGAGACCCAAUUUUCCAAUAAGUCAUGGAGAAAAUGACCAAUCUUUCUGAGGUAGUCCAAACCAGGUUAUAAUUUUUCAAAAGAUCCCAUAAGUACUACGUAUUACUAUUGUAACUGAUAUAUCUUUGAAGUCCAGAAUCCACUUCUACCUGUGUAACAAGACCUUCACAAAGAUACCUUACAGUAUAAACAUAAUUCAUCUUAUAUUCUCAGACAUGAAAUAUUUUCAUCUGCAAAGACUUCUGUAACUAUUAGACUCUUCAAAUCUCUCAAAGCUACAUGAAUAUAUUCUUCUAUAAAAUUAUAAAACAUUAAUCAUUUUUAUUUGUUCUUCAGUAGUGAGAAAUGAGAGGAUAUAUAAAUGGACAAUGACCAGACCGUAUAUGAAGACAGAACUCUGACCUACAAUCUCUUCAGCAACCAGCCUGGAAAUCCAAAUUAUAAUCUUGGCAGCAAUCACCCCAGGACAGCGAGGAUUUCAUUAAUGACUAUCAGCUUCUCUAUUUUUGUGCCCCAAUCCCUACAUCCUUUCAACUCAGGGCCAACCAGAGAAAGCCAACUAUGUUCCUGAAUUAAUUCCCAAGAUACUCUGCUUUUAGAUAGUUGGCCUUCAACUUCCCCAUGCCAACAACCUCCAAUCAGAGCACACCUUAAUGUCUUUUUUUUUUUUGCUAUAAAACUUGCCUAACUCCUUUUUGAGUCUGCCCAAUGAAAGUGACGUUGGCUGACUUCCUUGUUACAGCAAGAUUUGAAUAAAUGAAUUAUGCUGGUUCUCA